rnacentral:rRNA from 1 species
UACGGAGGAUCCAAGCGUUAUCCGGAUUUAUUAGGUUUAAAGGGUGCGCAGGCGGAAGAUUAAGUCGGCGGUGAAAUUUUGCAGCUCAACUGUAAAAGUGCCUUCGAAACUGGUUUUCUUGAGUGUGGAUGAAGUAGGCGGAAUUUGUGGUGUAGCGGUGAAAUGCAUAGAUAUCACGAGGAACUCCGAUUGCGAAGGCAGCUUACUAAACCAUAACUGACGCUCAGGCACGAAGGCGUGGGGAUCAAACAGGAUUAGAUACCCGGGUAGUCCCUGA